GGAGGAUCCGAGCGUUAUCCUGAUUUAUUGGGUUUAAAGGGAGCGUAGGCGGACGCUUAAGUCAGUUGUGAAAGUUUGAGGCUCAACCGUAAAAUUGCAGUUGAUACUGGGUGUCUUGAGUACAGUAGAGGCAGGCGGAAUUCGUGGUGUAGCGGUGAAAUGCUUAGAUAUCACGAAGAACUCCGAUUGCGAAGGCAGCCUGCUGGACUGUAACUGACGCUGAUGCUCGAAAGUGUGGGUAUCAAACAGGAUUAGAUACCCUGGUAGUCCACACAGUAAACGAUGAAUACUCGCUGUUUGCGAUAUACAGUAAGCGGCCAAGCGAAAGCGUUAAGUAUUCCACCUGGGGAGUACGCCGGCAACGGUG
rnacentral:rRNA from 1 species